rnacentral:lncRNA from 1 species
UUGGACGAGAUCUUGGCCUGCUGCUUAUCCUCUGCUUACUUAGCCGUUGCUACCACGACUAGUACCGCUCUUGCCAAGGGAGGAAGCUUGGAUAGCUAGGCGCCGUUGGGAUUUCGAGCACGCUUCCCUCAGGCUUCUCUCAUCAGGCUCAGGUACGCUAUCUUCCGGUGGCUGCUGCUCACAUCUUCUGAUCUUACUUUACGUCUUAUUGUGUGUACGCUCCUUCAAGCUAUAAUGUACUGUGCUGUACUACACCAGAUACUGGUAGUAGAGAGUGGCGUAGCCAGCAAAGAUCCAUAGUGGAGUGGCACUGUGCAUGGUACACUGAUCUGCAGCUGCACAUUCAUUCAUCCAUUCAUCCAGCAUGCAUCCGCGCACAUCACAUUUUGCCGGGGAUUCGCUUGGACGCUGGUUGAUUUCCGUCGGGCCCCUUGCGUUCCCUUCCUUUUGAUGCCUUGCGGUCUCGGCCGGGUCCGUCGGCGGCGCUUUUGAGGCGGAGCGAUCGAGCGCGUCCGGCCGCAUGCAUGCAUGCAUGGCCUGCAACAGCAAGAGAGGGGAAACCGGCUUUGCCGUCGCCGCCUAGCUGCGCGGCCAUGGCGUGAAGCCAAAACGCACAGAGCUUUGCACUGUGGAGAUCCCAGUCACACAUCACCGCCAUGUACGCUCGCAGUCGCACGUCUCUUCUGCAUGCUCUCUCUCUCCCUCUCUCUCUUCAGUCUCUCUUUCUCUCUCUCUCUCUGUGCCGGCCGGCCAUUAAAUGGAUGCAUGCAUGCAUGCGAUUGCGAGCCUCUUCUUCAAACUUGGGUAGAACAACUCAUGAUUGCGUCGCUUGUAGGCAUCCUGCUCGUCGUCUUCUCCGGCCUGCCCUUCUACUUCUUGCCUCCGCGAUAGGGCACCCUAGGCUGAUUCUCUAGUCCUUUCGCUUCCACAUGGAAGCAGUCUUCAUCUACUUGUCCUGCCAUGAUAACACACCGUACCAUCGACGAAAAAUAAUCUUCGAGCCUGGCAUGUUACAUGUGGCUAGCUAGCUACUGAGUGGACACCACGUAGGAUAAUGAGUGGACGCCGUAUCUCUCAUUAUUUGUUCUAGUACUACUACCACUUAUACUUUCUUCAGUUUACCAACUCCAGCUCACGUGAGGUCAUUUUUUCGUUUUGCUGCAAAAACAACGCAAGUUUACGGGGGGCGAGUGGGCGACAGCAUAGAUGAACAGCAUCUAUCACCGUUUAGAAAGAAAGAUAAAUGAAGUGUUAAAGCAAACAAGUCUCUUCCAUCUCACUUUUAUCGACGACGGCAGUAAAAAAAUAGAACAUCUACUAACUUUCAUGGGUCCGUGCCGAAAGCCUCUUUCGGCAGAGGCAGAGCAUAUGCCACCUUUUCUUUUCUUUUCACCCAUCGACCAGGGGUAAAAAGGAUACUCCUAGAUAGAUAGAUAGAUAGACGGGGUAGCCAGCAGGUCUGUAGAGUGACUCAGCGGGUGGCCCUGCACGUCGCCCGUCCAUCCAUCCGUCCGUCCGUCCGUGUGUAGGGAGGGAGGACGCCGGUGUCACCUCACCGGCGCGGUACGUUCGAUCCGAUGACUCCGGCAGGGAAGGGAAGAGGGCGGGGUGGCGGUGGCGCCCCGCCGGGCGACCGACGUGACGGGCGGAUUUUACGUGCACGGGGCGUGCUGCCCGUACGGCCGCGGCAGGCAGGCGCGGCUGCCGGCCCCACCGCGUGCGUCAGCCACUCUGCUUGGCAUCAAAGACGCGCGUGCCCGCUGCUCUGCCGCCGGGCUUGUGCGCGCCGCUGCUACACGCCUCCCACUUUUAUGCGUGCAAGCUCGGUGUUCGUGGGGGUACCUUUUUACCCCAAACGGGGCGUUGCACCAGCGGGGUUUCAUAAAUUGAAAAUAAAAUAUAACAAAGUUUACAAGCUCAAUAAAAAAUAAAUUAUCUACAAAAUACACCUAUUGAUUGCCAACAUGAUUUCACAUAUGCUCAACCAAAUUAUCUUGCAAACUGAAUAUGGGUUUUUAUAUCAUCAAUUUCAUGUUAAAAUUGGGUGAACUGUGCAAACCAUGCCGCUUCUCCGCCAUGCUAAGGCACCACAUUGUCACCCUGAAAUUCAAACCCUUGAUCGUGCACACGUUCUAGGCGCUCAUCCUCUACGAUCAUAUUGUGCAUGAUCACACAAAUAGUCAUCACUUGCCACAACAUAUUGGUGCUCUAAGUUCUAGCAGGAUACCGAACUAUGCCCCAUCGAGAUUGCAGAACAACGAAGGCACACUCGACAUCCUUCCUUGCACUCUCUUGCUCUUGGGAAAAUCUUUUCCUCUUCUCCAACAGGUUUGAAGAUUAUCCUCACAAUAGUGGUCCACUGUCGAUAGAUUUCGUCAGCUAGAUAGUAUCAUUUGUUCUAGUUGUGACAGUUAAUGUUAACAUUGACCGGCAGGCUGUUGCCUUCGGCAAGCUUUGCAAACACCGGCGAUCGUUGAAGCACGUUGAUAUUAUUGUGCGAUCCGGUCAUGCUAAAGAAACAAUGUCAGAUUCAGAGAUCUUGAGAGGUCACGACCUCAAGUAUGACAGUGCAAGCCUUGGCAUGACCCUUGUAAUGGCCUUACCAAGCAGAAGGCCAGUUAUUUCAUACCCAAUGAAUGUAGUCUAUUAGAAAAUAUUUUGAAAUAAACUUGAACUUUUAUUAUAGUUGAAAAAAGAUUCCACAAAAGGAAAAACCGCGUUGACUCUUUUCGGAAAAUCAACAUUUUCGAUCAAAAUAGUAUGAAUAUUGACUUAUAAUGGUAAUUUUUUUCCUUGAAAGUAAAAAAUGGUUUUUUAUUUAUGAAAAUAUAUAGUGCAAAAGAAAAUCACGUUUUUCCAACAAAAAACUAAACCUUCCUGACAUCUUCUAAAUUUACAAAAACAUCCCAUAUUAAGUGUAUAUACAGCCAAUGAAAAAAGGGAAUUUCUGUGCAAUGCUACCCAUAUUACACAUGAAAAAACACUAUGUUUUCUGCUCUUACGGACAAUUAUAAGAGAUAAAGAUUAGUGCAAGGAGUAAGAGCAUCUACAACCGGACCUUUCAUACCCGUCUCAAACGUCCGGAUAGGCCGUUCGGUCAUUGACCGGCCAUAAGAUUUUGACCGAGUCAAACCCCUCAAAUGGACCUUAAGCAUCCGGGCUGACCGGCACCUCUCAUAUCCAGCCGAAAUAUGAGGAGGAUAUGGAGUAGCCCGGACGUGUCCGGACACGCCUACCACCUCGGACCCGACAACCCUGCCCCACCGUAAAUUGCCUCAAAUUCUUCAAACACUUCCUCCUCCUUCCGGCUCCCUUCAACAUUUUCCGCUUCCGAGCCAUCGACACUCGCCCUUGCUCUCCAAGCUCACCACCUGUUCCGACCCGCCGGCGUGGUGUCUCCUAGCAGUCCCCGGCCGCCGCGAUGGGGACGCAAUCCGCCUCUUGUGUUGGCUUUCCUUCCUCCGCUUCGUCUUGCAAUCCGGAGAACCCCGCCCAUAAGAUGCGCCAUCGUCGACAGCGAGAGAGGAGGCGAAGUUGACAGCAUAGGUAGGUGCAAACAUCAUCGAGGAGAUGUCUCCCCGCCGGGCACCCCACACCACAUCCAUCCAAGCGUUUAGCCGCUGACGCGGAUUGUGCAUGUCUGACAACCUUAAGACCGAGGAGCAUCGGUUGGGCAAUUCCGGAGAGCUUUAGUCUAUUUUGGAUUAGACAUCGUGUAUACACUAGCCUCCCUCAUUGCAAACACUAAUUUGUUUACAAGCAUGCUUGUAUAAUUUUUUUUUCUCAUGGGUAUGCUUGUACAAAUUCAACCGUUGUUGAGUAAAAAAUAAAAUCAUCCACAGUUGUACACACACUCUUUUUUCUCGCGGGAAGUAUACACGUACUUAACACAAAAAUCAAUGGCAUGUGCAUGUAACUUCCAUGGAUGACAUCGCCGGACGCUGCGAUGGGGACGCACUCCGCCUCAUGUGUUGGCUUUCGUUCCUCCGCUUUGUCUUGCAAUCUGGAGAACGCCGCCCGUAAGAUGUGCCGUCAUCGACAGCGAGAGAGGAGGCGGAGUUAGCAGCAUAGGUAGGUGCGGACAUCAUCGAGAGAGGAGAUGUCUUCCUCGACACGUCGGGCACCCCACACCACAUCCAUUCAAGCGCUCACGCGGAUUGCGCAUGUCUGACGACCUUAUGACCGAGGAGCAUCGGGUGGGCAAUUCCGGAGAGCUUUAGUCUAUUUUGGAUUAGACAUCGUGUAUAUAGUAGCAUGCCUCGUUGCAAACACUAAUUUGUUUACAGGCAUGCUUGUACAAAUUCAACCGUUGUUGAGUAAAAAAUAAAAUCAACCGCAGUUGUACACACUCUUUUUUCUCGCAGGAAGUAUACACGUAUUUAACACAAAAAUCAACGGCAUGUGCAUGUAACUUCCAUGGAUGACAUGCCAUAGAUAUAUGUUUUUUUAACGUAGUACAAUCACAAACGCUCAAAUAAACAUGCAACAUCUUUAUAAACACUUACACGCACAUUCUAGUUUUACAAGCAUCUUUGAAAGGCUUAGCCAACAUAUUGUUUAGAAAUUACGAGUUUAUCGUAGACGCUUGGUCGUCAAUGUAGUCACAAACGAGCAACAUUCCCGGCAACAACAAAACGCACAAUGUAUUUUUUCUUCCUUUUUGGAUUUGGAGUAUAGUGCGAGCGAAAGAAACCAUUGCUCCAAAAAAGAGGGACAAAAAGAAAAACCGGACCAUUUUCCAUUCCCCCCCCACUCCACGCGCGUGCAUGGCUCCCCCUUCCCUUCAUUCCCCCGUCCCGAUCGGGACCAGCACCUACUACCAUCCCGCGUGCGGUGCUACCGCGCGUGGCACGCCGACGACGCCACGCCAACGCCAACGCCAACGCGCGCGUGCCGCCAGCCUCUUCCUAGUCUGUACCGUUUACGCCCGUACGCGCGGCGCGCACGCCGACGGGGCCCCGGCCCCGGACGCCGACCCCCGGGAGCGCACGCACGCACUGCAUGGGCUGUCUGUCUCGCUUUCAUCUGCUGCCUUUUCCCCGUGCUUCUUUGUGGUGGCAUGGCCUCUCCAUCUCCAGUCGAGAGCCCACGACGCUCGGCUCCGGUGCGGCUCGCACGCUGCGUCGCUAUCAGCCCCGGGCGAAAGACGCCGGAGAUCGGGACGGCGCCGUGCGGCCUGUCCGUCGUGCGUUGGUACCUCUACUCUGCCUGCUCGCUCGAUCCAGCCCAUCUCCCUUCCCUUCUCGUGAUAGUAACAAGAAUGCCAUUGCACAGUAGCGCCCGCACCCUGCUCUUCACGUGCGCGCGAGCGCGCUCCUCGCCUAAAAAUCAAAUCGUUCCCUCCCCCUUCUGGUCUCUCGGAUCGGCUAUGAAAGCAUGUGUGCGUGCAUGCAUGCAUGCAGGGCCGGGCAUCAUGGCCCUUUUCUGGCUUCAACGGUGCCAUGAUUGAUAGAUAGAUAAACCUCUCCAUCGGCCGCAGCCAGCCUGCAGCGUCAGUCAUGGCUUUUCUCCCCUCCCCUUUCGUACGCACGGCGUGGAUAUCGCAUCGUAUCUCCUCCACCUCCUCCCCGUUGCCGUUGGUCAACUCCGAUCGACCGGGUGACGCCGUUGCCGUUGUGGGCGUUGCUCUCGGCCGGGCCGGGCUGGGCUGCGGUAUGGUCCUGCUCCUGCGUCCCCACGCCGCACAAUCUGGCACCGCACCACGCAGAUUAUGGGUGCGAUCACCAGGCACCACCUCUUGUGUUGCGUUUCAGCCUUGCGCCAUGCCGGCAUCUCUCCGUGCGAUACAUACACUGCAGCUUUAUUGACCAGAACAGGCCUCUCCACAGCCCACAAAAGGAGCAGGAGGAUGAGGAAGACUAGUCUGCGCGCCAAGAAGUGCGUGACAGUGAUUUGGAAUCUCGCACGGACGCCUCAGCACUUGACCUGGAUUAGGAUAAUAGUAUCAGGGAAUGGAGGUAGGGCUAGGACAAGGUGACGACGACGACACGACGACGGUGAUGUUCGACAUUAAUUAAUUAAUUAAUCAGGUAAGUACACGUAUACGCGCCAUUUCCAUGAGACAUUCCGACGUUCCAAACGCCCGUCAAGUCGCCGAUCAUUCAUUCCGUACGAGCCCCUAAUAGCCGCUUGACGCCAACGCGUGCAUGCAUCAGGGAAGCCGAUCAGAUCCUUUUUCGCAAGAAAAAGAAAUGCCCGCCCGGCAUGAUGGCGCCUUUUUAGCAAGCAAUGCAAUGGAGGAGGCGACGGGCCGGCCCAAAGCAAAAGCAAAACAAAACAAAACUCUGCACGGACAGCAGUAGCAAUGGCAAGCAGCACGCGCAGGCCGCUGGCAGUGCCAUGCCAUGCGCGCACAGGCAUUUAACCCCACUCCCACACAGCGCGCACAGCGGCGACGGCAGGCAGGCUGGUGCGGUACGGUGGGUGGGCGCUAGCCUAGUUGGUGCGUGCCGCGCUCUCGGCUCUCGCAGGACUGUGGCCCUCGUGCCGCAGGCCGCUGCUCCCGCUGCCUCACGGAGCCUGUAGCUGUAGCCUCCUAGUGGCGCUGCGCGAACGCUCCGCUUUGUCGCCCCGGGAGCGGAACAGCGACACCCGCCGCCUCGGCCAGCGCGCCGUCGCCGCGGUGACCGCGCCCACGACGCGAACCGCCCGAGCCGGGAUGCAUACCAUGCCAUGCCAUGCCUAUGUUCUUCUUGUACUCUACGUGGGGGGCCCUGCCGUGUCUGUGUAUGCUAGUACUCCUACAAGCUCGAAGCUCGCGCUCAUUCCCCGGCUUGGCUGGCGCUGCAUGCUGCGCGCGCGCCAGUGUUUCGGGCCGUGCGCGUGCCAAGGAUGAAGGAAUAUAGAAAGCGUUUGGGCCAUGAGGAGGAUUUGGGGCUUGAGGGAGGUCUCGGGGCAGGAAGGAAGGAUGGAGGGGGUUCUAUUCUGGAACAGCGGAGCGGCUUCCUUGCUGUCGGUCUCUGGUGGCACGCUGCCAAAGCGGCUCGCGCGGCCGCCGAGGCUGUUGGUGUUGGAGGACGUUUGCCGGCCGUGCUUUGUAGGGGUUUCGCUGGUUUGGUUUGGUUUGUUUAGGCGCAGCCUACGCGUCAGGUUCACGGCACUAGUCACCGGACCUCACCGCAUUGCCAAUAUAUAUACCACGUUCGCAAAGGAAGAGGAGUUUCAUUUCAUUCUGAAGUAGCAGCAGUUUUUUUAGCUUUGACAAUGUUCCUAAAAAAACACAUCCACAAGAUGAGUACUAGAACCUAUCAUCUACUCCCUUUGUAUUUUGAUACAGAGGGAGUAUCAGCACAGGCUGUCGAAGAAAACAUGAAGCACACAUGGUCUCUAUUUGAAGGACUAUUACUAUAUGAUAAAGAAGCAAGCUAGUAGCAGCUACUCUUUUUUCUUUUUUUAAAGAAACAAUCUACGACCUCCUGUCCUGGGUGUGAUGGACAAUAAUAGUGGAGUACAACGCACUAGCGGCCAGGCGCACGAACAUGCGAUACACUUUUCAAUGAAAAUCCCCAUCCUUCCCCCCCUCCCUUCGAUACCCCCCAUCCUAGAUCCUACCCUCCCCCGAUUAAUCCACACGCCCCAUACCGUUCUUUUUCCUCACCUCCCGCCCUCCGCCGUUUGUAAUGUUUCUACGACGCCUGCCACCUUUGGUAAAUCCCGGAGGAAGGAAGGUGGGAUUAAUUGGAGCCACCGGCCCGCCGUGCGCCGCACCGCAGCGGAUGUAUUUAUCACCCACCCCAGCCUGCGAGCUGCGACUGUGGUGCAGCCUCCCACGAGAGAGAGAGAGAGAGAGAGAGAGUGAGUGAGAGGAGAGGAGCGCAAGAGGUCAAACCUGCUGCUGUUGCUGCAUCAGUGCCGUGCCGGUUCUAAUGCCUUUCUGUCCCGCGCCCCCCCAUUAAUCCAUCCAUCCAUCCAUCCUCUCUCCCUUCCUUCUCUAGCUCCUCGCCACGCUCGCCUCUCUUUUCUACCGCUGCUGCUUCACCUUGGGCCGGCGUCGCCGUUUUUACAGUCUUUGGCUUUGCUUCGCCACCUUGCUGCUGCUGCUGAUCGUGCCGUGGUAACAUUAUAAGGCGCCGUGCAGGGAGCGUGCAGGGGGCCGCCCGGUCCUGCCAGCGACCGCCUUGUCGGGUAACGGACUCGUCGCCAGCCGCUCGCUCACAUGCUGGAGGUCCUCGAGAUGACGCCGCCUCCGCCGCCGCCGCCGCAGCCACGGCGCCAGCCUAGGGGAGGCGGCGGGGGGAGGAAGCAGCCGCUGCAGAGCAGCNNNNN